CCUACGGGAGGCAGCAGUGGGGGAUAUUGGACAAUGGGGGGAACCCUGAUCCAGCGACGCCGCGUGAGUGAAGAAGUAUCUCGGUAUGUAAAGCUCUAUCAGCAGGGAAGAAGAAAUGACGGUACCUGCGUAAGCAGCCCCGGCUAACUACGGGCCAGCAGCCGCGGUAAUACGUAGGGGGCAAGCGUUAUCCGGAAUUACUGGGUGUAAAGGGAGCGUAGACGGUGAUGUAAGUCUGGAGUGAAAGGCGGGGGCCCAACCCCCGGACUGCUCUGGAAACUAUGUGACUGGAGUGUAGGAGAGGUAAGUGGAAUUCCUAGUGUAGCGGUGAAAUGCGUAGAUAUUAGGAGGAACACCAGUGGCGAAGGCGGCUUACUGGACUGUAACUGACGUUGAGGCUCGAAAGCGUGGGGAGCAAACAGGAUUAGAUACCCCAGUAGUC
rnacentral:rRNA from 1 species